GACGAACGCUGGCGGCGUGCUUAACACAUGCAAGUCGAACGGAAAGGCCCUGCUUUUGUGGGGUGCUCGAGUGGCGAACGGGUGAGUAACACGUGAGUAACCUGCCCUUGACUUUGGGAUAACUUCAGGAAACUGGGGCUAAUACCGGAUAGGAGCUCCUGCUGCAUGGUGGGGGUUGGAAAGUUUCGGCGGUUGGGGAUGGGCUCGCGGCUUAUCAGCUUGUUGGUGGGGUAGUGGCUUACCAAGGCUUUGACGGGUAGCCGGCCCGAGAGGGUGACCGGCCACAUUGGGACUGAGAUACGGCCCAGACUCCUACGGGAGGCAGCAGUGGGGAAUAUUGCACAAUGGGCGGAAGCCUGAUGCAGCAACGCCGCGUGCGGGAUGACGGCCUUCGGGUUGUAAACCGCUUUCGCCUGUGACGAAGCGUGAGUGACGGUAAUGGGUAAAGAAGCACCGGCUAACUACGUG
rnacentral:rRNA from 1 species